ensembl:lncRNA LOC102551386 uncharacterized LOC102551386
GAGAAGGCACAGGGAAGAGACAAGGUCAAGAGUAACAGGAUGGAUGCAAAUCAAGAAGACAAAGUGCAAGGCAGAAAAUGAUGAGUGCUACCUUCCCAGGAAGGCUGAAGAAUACUUUGAUGAAUGUUAACCAAAGGAAGGACUAAAAGCCACAGGACACUAGAGCAAAUCAAGUGUGGUUUCCAUCUCCUGACACCAUCUGUUCACUGAGAUGUGGUUGGAAAAGCCCUGUGAACAAGGUGACCUCAUAUAAAUGGAAUCAGCUUGUCAGGACAGUAGAUCUGGCUCAGCAGUGAGGGCGAGCACUGCUCUUUCAAAAGACCUGAUUUUGAGAUGCAGCUCCCAUGUCAGGUGGUACAGCUGUCUCUAACGCCAGCUCUAAUGCGAUCUGAUGCCUCUACCCUCCACAAGCACCCACAACCACAUACACAUACCCACACAGACACACAAAUACAGAAA